rnacentral:rRNA from 1 species
AUUGAACGCUGGCGGCAGGCCUAACACAUGCAAGUCGAACGGUAACAGGAAACAGCUUGCUGUUUCGCUGACGAGUGGCGGACGGGUGAGUAAUGUCUGGGAAACUGCCUGAUGGAGGGGGAUACCUACUGGAAACGGUAGCUAAUACCGCAUAACGUCGCAAGACCAAAGAGGGGGACCCUCGGGCCUCUUGCCAUCGGAUGUGCCCAGAUGGGAUUAGCUUGUUGGUGGGGUAACGGCUCACCAAGGCGACGAUCCCUAGCUGGUCUGAGAGGAUGACCAGCCACACUGGAACUGAGACACGGUCCAGACUCCUACGGGAGGCAGCAGUGGGGAAUAUUGCACAAUGGGCGCAAGCCUGAUGCAGCCAUGCCGCGUGUAUGAAGAAGGCCUUCGGGUUGUAAAGUACUUUCAGCGGGGAGGAAGGGAGUAAAGUUAAUACCUUUGCUCAUUGACGUUACCCGCAGAAGAAGCACCGGCUAACUCCGUG